rnacentral:rRNA from 1 species
CCUACGGGAGGCAGCAGUAAGGAAUAUUGGUCAAUGGACGAAAGUCUGAACCAGCCAUGCCGCGUGAAGGAUUAAGGUCCUCUGGAUUGUAAACUUCUUUUAUAGGGGACGAAAAAAGGGCAUUCUUGCUCUCUUGACGGUACCCUGUGAAUAAGCACCGGCUAACUCCGUGCCAGCAGCCGCGGUAAUACGGAGGGUGCAAGCGUUAUCCGGAUUCACUGGGUUUAAAGGGUGCGUAGGCGGGUAGGUAAGUCAGUGGUGAAAUCUCGGAGCUUAACUCCGAAACUGCCAUUGAUACUAUCUAUCUUGAAUAUUGUGGAGGUUUGCGGAAUAUGUCAUGUAGCGGUGAAAUGCAUAGAUAUGACAUAGAACACCUAUUGCGAAGGCAGCAGGCUACACAUAUAUUGACGCUGAGGCACGAAAGCGUGGGGAUCAAACAGGAUUAGAUACCCUGGUAGUCCACGCCCUAAACGAUGAUACUACGACAUACGUGAUACACUAUGUGUGUCUGAGACGAAGACAUUAAGUUAAUACCUACCGUACGGUAAGGUAACGGUACCGCCGAACGGAGUAGAAACGUAACGAAAGGAAGUUAGUACGGACGUAGAGACGNGCCGACGGACGACGACGAGGGGAGGUAGGG